UUUUUGCCUUGACUUGACUUGAGUUGACUUUACUUGACUUGAGAGGGAAAACGAGGUAGCUCCUAAGCUCUCCACAACCGUUGCUAAGCGGGAGGUAACGUUAGCUUAUAGCUAGCUAGCUUCUAGGCGGGAGAAGAUCCCCCCCCCCCCCCCCCCACCUUUGCCCUCUGGACUCGCGGAUCAUCUGUGGACUUCCAGAAAAUAAUGUUUUUAGUCAGGAUCAAUCCUGACUCAUCCAAGUGCACUGCCAAGGAGCAGAUCAGCAAGAUGACUGGGAGGGUGGUGAAGAGGAAAACUACAUACAUGAACCCCAGUGUCCUCUCAUUUAUUAGGGAUUUCACAGAGUUCUACUUGCUUGACUAGAUGAAGGGUUCCAACUGAUUCUGGUCAGGGCAUGCAAGGUUUCAUAAGGUUUCAUGUAAAUUUUCUAUUUGUUAUUUUAUUUGAAUGUUCUAAAUGUUAUAUUUUACUGUUCAAUGUUUUAUUAUGUUGUACCUGGUGAGGACCACCCAUCUAAGCACCAACCCACUGUUCCACUGUUGAGGUUGAGAACUGUACUGACAACUGUAUUAGGCCUAUAUAUCAUUAUAUUAUAUUAUAUUAUACACAUAUUAUAUUAUACAUAUAUUAUAUAUUAUAUUAUACACAUAUAUUAUAUUAUACACUAUGUAUUAUUAUAUUAGUCUAUAUUAUUCAAUAUAAUAUACAUAUACUAUUAUAUCAUACCUAUAAUAGGCCAAUACAUU